UACGGAGGGGGCGAGCGUUAUUCGGAAUUAUUGGGCGUAAAGGGCGCGUAGGCGGCCCGGUAAGUCAAAGGUGAAAUCCCUCGGCUCAACUGAGGAACUGCCUUUGAAACUGUCGGGCUUGAGGCCGGGAGGGGGUAGCGGAAUUCCCAGUGUAGCGGUGAAAUUCGUAGAUAUUGGGAAGAACACCAGUGGCGAAGGCGGCUACCUGGUCCGGAUCUGACGCUGAGGCGCGAAAGCGUGGGGAGCAAACAGG
rnacentral:rRNA from 1 species